CGAAUGCUGACAUAAGUAACGAUAAAGCGGGUGAAAAGCCCGCUCGCCGGAAGACCAAGGGUUCCUGUCCAACGUUAAUCGGGGCAGGGUGAGUCGACCCCUAAGGCGAGGCCGAAAGGCGUAGUCGAUGGGAAACAGGUUAAUAUUCCUGUACUUGGUGUUACUGCGAAGGGGGGACGGAGAAGGCUAUGUUGGCCGGGCGACGGUUGUCCCGGUUUAAGCGUGUAGGCUGGUUUUCCAGGCAAAUCCGGAAAAUCAAGGCUGAGGCGUGAUGACGAGGCACUACGGUGCUGAAGCAACAAAUGCCCUGCUUCCAGGAAAAGCCUCUAAGCAUCAGGUAACAUCAAAUCGUACCCCAAACCGACACAGGUGGUCAGGUAGAGAAUACCAAGGCGCUUGAGAGAACUCGGGUGAAGGAACUAGGCAAAAUGGUGCCGUAACUUCGGGAGAAGGCACGCUGAUAUGUAGGUGAAGUCCCUCGCGGAUGGAGCUGAAAUCAGUCGAAGAUACCAG
rnacentral:rRNA from 1 species